AUACAUGUGGAAGGUUUUUAUUGAUUUAUUUGCCCAAUACCUAGUGACAGAGGGACCUUGGUUUAAAGCACCCAAUCCACUGGUCCAGUUCUCUGCAAGUUCUUUUGUGCUGGGUGACAGCCUUUUGAACCUACCAAUAUUACAGAAAAGUUUUAGGAGAAAGGUACAUUGGUACUCACCGUGAAGGUGUCUUCUGGCUGGUGUAGAAGAGGUCACCCAAGCUUGGGAUUACAUCCCCCCCACAUGCUCCAAAAGGCAGGAAGUAGUCAUACUUGAAGAUCCUUAACCCAGUGCAUGUGGGCGGAUCUCCUCAGUGCUUAAAACAGCUCAAGCUACGGAAUGAAAACCACAGAACACAACAGAGAAUAUACAACAAUAUACAAACAAUAAUGCAGAGAAAGACAGAAAAACUGUCCCCCUACAACCAGAUCAUCAGCUCCAGCCUAACACAACCCGGGCGGGCCUUGGGUGACCUCUUCUACACCAGCCAGAAGACACCUUCACGGUGAGUACCAAUGUACCUUUCUCGGCUGGUGUAGGAGGUCACCCAAGCUUGGGACAUACCACAGCACCAACCACGGGAGGGAAAAUACCCAAGCUGGAGCUACUGACCCGGAAGGACCUGUUGCAGGACCCUCUGACCAAAUGCUGCUCUGGCAGCUUCAUGUUCAUCCAACUUGUAAUGCCUUGAAAAUGUAAAAGGCGACGACCAAGUAGCCGCCUUGCAAAUCUCUUCAUGGGACACCAGUGAAGAUAACACAGUAGAAGUGGCUGCCGAUGUAGUUGAGUGCGCCGUAAUCUGACCAGGCACAGAAAGUUUCUGGGCUUCAUACAACAUCGUAAUGCAUGAAUGAACCCACCGAGCAAUAAUGGCUGAAGAGACCUUGCAUCCCAUCUUAGAAGCCUUAAAGGCCACAAAAAGAGCAUCUGACUUACGAAAAGCCUGCGUCCGGUUGCACUCCUUCUCUGCAGGGUGACGAGCAUCCGGACAAAAAUAAGGUAAUUAAAUGACCGCCUCACGAUUAAACUGAGACUUUACCUUAGGGAUAAACGAAGGAUCCGGGAUAAGUCUCACAGAGUCCUUAGAGAAAUUACACAAAUUACUCUGAACUGACAGAGCCUGCGAUUCAGAAACCCUCCUGGCUGAUGUUACAGCUACUAAAAAGGCCGCCUUCCAGGACAGCAUCUGCAAUGAUACAGAUCAAAGUGGUUCAAAUGGCGGAAACUGCAGACCCCACAACACAAUAUGCAAAUCCCAUGACGGAAAACGAUGGCAGACCAGAGGAGACAACAAAGCUGCCCCCCUCAAGAACUUGCGUAGAAGAGGGUGCCACGCCUGAACAAACGCUGAUGAGAAAACAACAUCUGGAUCAAGCACGCCGCCUGGUGUUUAAGCGUGUUGGGUUUCAGACCAAGCGCAAGGCCAUCCUGAAGAAAACCUAGUAAUCCCCUCGACCUGCACUUGUCCAGCUGCAGGGAGAGCUUUGCUGUCCAGCGCAGAAAACUACGCCAAGUCAAUUGGUAAAUCUUGUUGGCUGAACACUUUCUAGAUGCAAGGAUGGUAAAUCGGACCUUGACACAGCAGAACUGGAUGGUCUGGCAAACUGAGUGGAUGACCUACGGUCAAGUUGAUGAUCUCGGAAAACCAAGGCCCUCUGGGCCAAAAAGACGCAAUCAAUAUCAGGGAUGCCCAGAAACCCCGCAGCUUCCUGAGGCAACGGGAGAGCAGCGGCACUGGAGGAAAUGCAUUCAGCAGACACGGAGGCCAUGGCACCGAUAGCGUAUCCGUCUCUUCUGCCCCCAACAUCGGGAAACGUGAGUAAAACCUCUGAAUCUUGGCAUUCUGAAGAUAUGCAAACAAGUCUAUCUGGGGACACCCCAGCUGCUCUGUCAGCCACCUAAAUACUUGAGGGUGCAGGCCCCAUUCUGCCGGCUGGAUCUCCUGCCGUCUUAGCCAAUCUGCCCGAACAUUGGAAAUUCUGUUUACAUGAUGGUCCAGAAUGGAUAUUAAGUUGUUCUGUACACAUUAAGAUAUUCCUUCCCUUCACCAAGGGUGUGAAGGCUCUUAGGGCCAGAAAGACAGCCCACAGCUCGAGCCAGUUUAUGCUAUGGAGCAACUCUUCCACCGACCAAAGCCCCUGGCAGAACUGUUCCAACAGUGAGCCCCCCAGCCCGAUAGACUGGUGUCCGUCGUGACCAUCACUCUCUCGGGUUCUAUGAACAGCUUGCCCUUGUCUAGGUUCCCCGGGCCGUCCAACGAAUCGACUCGCGAAGAGACACCUAGAGAGGAAUGUUCUUGUCACGUUUGAGGGCAAUCCUAUGCUGGUAAAGGAGGAAACCCCACUGUAACUGGCGUAGAUGAAAACCUCGCCCAAGGCACCGAGUCCAUAGCCGCCACCAUGAGACCCAACAAACUUGCUAGAUUGAGAAGGCUGGCCCACAGUCUCGAAGCAAUCACACGAGCCAGUGACGUUAAGACCUCCAUCCGAUCCUGUGGCAGAAACAGUUUGCCUACUGAGGUGUCCAUUACCAUGCCCAAAAAGAAGGCUCUGUGUGGGCAUCAGGUGACUCUUGCCCACAUUUAUCAGAAACCCAUGCGCACGUAACACAGACAUUGUUCUGGACAGAGCCGACUGAACUGCCCCUUCUUGAGCAAGUUGUCGAGGUAACAAUACAGGUGGACCCCCUCAGUGCAUAAAGUGGCCACUAGCAGACUAGAACCUUCAUAAAAACUCGGGUGGCUGAUGAGAGACCAAAAGGAAGGGCUCUGUACUGAUAAUGCCUCCCCAUGUAGCAGAAGUGGAGUAUAUGUCGAUUGCGUGGAUGGAUGGGGAUGUGUAAAUAGCCCUCCUGGAGAUCUAUUGAAGUCAUGUAGUCCCCCAUCUGCAAUGCCUCUGAGAUGGUACAAAGGGUUUCCAUCCUGAACCUCCUUUUUAUCACAAAACGGUUGACUGGGCGUAGGUUGAGAACUGCCCUGGCCGAUCUGUCCUUUUUUGGCACCGUAAAAUCACAGAAUAGAUGCCCUUGCCUCUCUGAAGAGGUGGGACCUCCUCUAUGGUCCCUAUAGCCACCAGAUCUGAAUGGCCAUGGACAACCCCUUGUGCUUUUCCGGUUUCCCAGAUCUAGGGGUAAGGAGGAAUCUGUUUCCUGGGGGGCUGGCCAGCUCCACUUCGUACCCAUGUAGGCUAAUGGAAAGAACCCACCUGUCGAUGGAUUCUUUCCAAAACAGUCCAAAUGGCAGACCCCCACUUUGCCUGAGUGGGAGUCAGGACUGCUGCUUGGGGGCCCCGCUGCUGGUUUCCGAGAGACUGAUGGUUCUGCUGAGUGAACCCUUGCCUGCCUUGGCCUCUGGAUCUGUUCCACUGCGAUCGAAAAGGCCUAAAAGGCUCCCUCUGACAAACUAAGGUCUAAACGCCCUGAAGGUUUGCAUCGGUCUAUGAUUAAAACUCUUGUCCUUCUUCCUAGGAGCUGAUGGCAGAGCCCUGCGGUUAUCCUUAGUUUCAAUGAGGACCUCUUUCAGGGCCUCAUUCCCAAUUAGCUUUCCCCCCAGCAUAGGGAACAGCAGCUAAUUUAGCCCUAGACGUAUUAUCAACUUCCAAAAUUUUAGCCAUAUGUUGCGUCUUGCCAGGACACCUGCACUGACCGCACGUGCCGAGAACUGAACACUGUCCAGAGUAGCAUCCGCUGAAAAGGCAGCCGCCCUCUGCAGACGAAGUAGCUUACGCCACAUCUUAGACUGAUUAGUGGGAGGGUCAUUGGGUAACUCGCCAAUCCACAAGACCGAUGCUCUAGACACCAAGGACACAGUGGUGUCAGCUCUGAUGGCCACUGCUCAAGCCUCGUGGGCCCUGCGCAGUGCAGAUUCUGCUUUUCUGUUUUCUGGCUCCUUAGAAGAGGAGUCCCCAUCCUUGGGUACCACUGUGCUACUAAGUAGGGCCCCGAAGUGAGCAACCGUAAGUGGCACCUUCAGCCAGUCCAGAGUCUCCUCCUCAAAGUUGUACAAUUUGCAAGCCAAUGCCAACAUACGCUUUGGGAGUCGCAAUAGCUGCCCAUUCCUCCUUGAUGGUCUUAGUAAAGCCCUCAGGUAUCACUGAUUUAAUCUGCGGUACCUUAGCCUUAGGCAGCACCAAGGAGCCCUUGGACACAGGAGAGAUCUGUUCCUCUGUAACUGGCUACAGAUCAAGCGCAGCAAUAGCCUGGUUAAUUAGUGGCUGAAAAUCCACCAUAAGAGAGAGCCUCUGACUGUGUAAGUUUGCAGCAGAGUCCUCAAUCAUCUCCCCCUCUUCCGAGGAGGAGGGCCCCUUGUCUGGGUUGCCCAGCAAUGUCUCUGACCCACUGACCCUGGGUCACAAUAGAUCUGGGGAGUCCUCUCCAGACUCAUCUGAAGACCUCCCCCUACGCAAGGGCACAGAGUCCUGGCGUAUAGCCACCCUGGGCUGCUUAGCAGGCACCGUCUCCUCCUGAGAGUCUGAGGGCGACACAUGGAUCACAGCCUGCCUUGCAAUGCCUUGCAGGCUUCCACGCUUUAAGCGCCGCUGCCAGUGAGACCUGAACGGCCUCCUGAAUCCAGCCCUUUGCAGUGGCAGCAUCAGGGGGAACCCCCACAUUCCCUGUAGGAGUAGGCCCUGAGGGAGGGGCCACAUAGGGGGCAUCUGCACUCACCUCCCCCCCCCCGAGCAAGUACCGAUCUUACCGGGGGGAGCUGUUCAUGGCCUUCUGGGUGCUCCGACGCCCCAUCCACGGGCUCAGCACCUCCUGCCUCAUCAUCCUGCACGUCUUCCCCGUCUGAUUCCGACAGGCUCUGGGGCGGCCACUCCUGCUGACGUUCCUUUCAGCGCGGCCCCAAUACUCGCUGAGGCAGUCCUCCUCCUGCACGCCCAACUGCUAGGGAAAGGAGUUGGGGGGGGGGCGAGGCCAAACAUCACAGGCUUACCUUGCUUGCGCUGCCAGGCGAAAGCUCUCUCACCAACGGGGCCUCCUUGUAGGGAAGCCUCCGAUUCUGGUGCCGCCACUUGUGUCCUGCUACAGUGGAUUGCUGGUGGCAUGAAUUGCACCCAGUCUCUUCACCGGUAUCUGGCCACCAACGGGGCCUCCUUGUCAGGAAGCCUCCGAUUCUGGUGCCGCCACCUGCGUCCUGCUUCGGUGGAUUGCUGGUGGCAUGGAUUGCGCCCAGUCUCCUCACCGGUAUCUGGCAACAGAGAGGACCGCUGUGGCCUACAGGCGCCAGCAAGGUCAUCUGAUACAUCUGCCACUUUCCUUACAGGAUUUGCGCAGUCCCGAGUUUUUGGCGGGAACAGGCGCUGAUGGGCGGAUCUCUCCCUAAUAGCCAGGAGUCCGAAGGUCUUUUUAGCGGACAUCGGCCAAAAGGUCGGCAAGAGGUGAGGAGAGGUAACGAAUAACAGAAAGGACAGUAGAAGAACAGAUAUGAAUUUUUUUUUUUUUAAAUUUAAAAUUAUUAUUAUUUUUUUCUUUUUUCUUUAGUAACUAGAGAGAACUAAUAAUAGUAGAAUACCAGGUGAAGAAUAGAUUGGAAAUAGUCAAAAACAAUAGGAAUAUAAGCAGAAGAAAAGAAGAGGCCUAGUUAACUAGGCCAAAGCCAGCGAGCUGUAAUGCGAGCCUUCUGGAGCAAAGGCAGGAAGUAGAACUGAGGAGAUCCGCCCACAUGCACUGGGUUAAGGAUCUUCAAGUAUGACUACUUCCUGCCUUUUGGAGCAUGUGGGGGGGAUGUAAUCCCAAGCUUGGGUGACCUCCUACACCAGCCGAGAAGCCGAGUCCUGCAUCUCAGCAGGGAUGAUUCAGUAUUUCUUUCUCUCAUGUGAACGUGCUCUGAGAUAAAGGCUAUAAUCCGCUACACCCUCUUUAGAUGUUAUUCCCUGAAGCCCUGCACAUGCUUACAGCACCAAAUGUGAGCAGGAAGUCACUCACCACCUCCAGCCAGGCAGUCAUGGUUAUGGCGCAGUUUGUGUGAAGGUGGAAGCACUGUAACCGUGAUGGCACUUCUGUGAGUGGUGAAGGGAGUGAUGGUUAUGAUGCUGUAACUGUUAAUAGCCGGUUGGAGGCAGUGAGUGACAGUGCUGGGGUGGGACUUCUUUCCUGCUUUCAGUGCAGUAAGUGUGAGUGGAGCUUCAGGGAAUAAGAUCUGAAGAGGCCUUGUAUCUGAGUUCAUUUUUAAAGUUGACCUGGGUACUGGCCCCUUAAAUGCAUGCAGCAGACAGGAAGCAUACUGCUGAACCUGUGUCCAAUGAUGUUAAUAGCUGUACCAGUGUACAGCGUUGCACUGGUGCACACUCUGUACUCAUACGAGUGUUGAACUUAUCAUGUGAAUCGGGCUUUUGUAUUAUGCUACACUUCAUUUUCAGAUCUUCCUGAGAUUUUUUUUUUGCCAAGUUAUAGCUCAAAUCCCUUUGACAAAAGUAGCACUUUCUUAAUAUAAGUUCUUCUAAGAUAGUUGCUAGAUGAAAUAAUUCUACUGAUUACUCAUUCUCACAGCGAGCACCAUUUUGGGAGGUUGACACUCUUACACUUGGACUUGGUUGGCAUUUGGCUGGUGCUUAAUGUGUUUAUACUCAGGAGAGAAUAAAAGGACAUUCAUUCGCAUCUUAAGGACAAUGCUGAUGAUCGCAAGCAGUUCUCCUGUCUUACCGAUAUCUCUAAAAGCUACACUAACCUGAACGAAAGGUGCUUCCACAACUUCUCUCAUGAAUAUAGCAGUUACAAAAAUAGUUUCCCAGGUCUUGGAAGAUCACAAAUUGCCUGGUGCCAUCUGUUCUCUGAUGUGGUGGUGCAGAUAUUGGUACAGCAAUGGCAAGGGAUGAAAGAAUUGAUCUCCUGUCCUUCACUGGCAGCACAAAUGUAGGCAAGCAGGUAGCACUGAUGGUCCAGGAAAUUUGGGUGGAGGCUCUUGGAGCUUGGUGGAAACAGUGCUUUUAUUGGCUCAAUUCCUUGCUGUAUUUGAAGAUGCAGACCAUAAUCUAGUCAUCCCAUCUGCUUUCUUUGCGGCCGUGGGGACAGCAGGCCAGAGAUGUGCAACUGCCAGGAGGCUGCUUUACAACAGGACUGCCCUACACAGGCUCUUAAAGGUCUCUUUCAUUGGAGUAGUCCUGCCUCUGCAGCAUGUGGGUAGAGAUCACCUACAAUGGGUUCACUCAGUUACACCAGCAAGAAGACAUCUUUAUGGUGGUAAUAAGCACACUGGUGGUGGAAGGAAAUCUGGCAGCGAUUCAUGGAAACAAUAUAUGAGACAAUCUACUUGUACGAUCAAUUACAGCAAGGAUUUGCCUCUGGCUCAUGGGAUCAAGUUUCAAUAAUGGCCUUGUGAAUGCUCUAUCUUGGCUGAACUUGACAUACAAGAAUGGAGCACCUGUUGAUCGCACCUGCAGAGACCGCUACCUGAAAUCAUCUAGCAUUGAGGAUAUUGUAGCUGCUACAAUGUUCCUUUCCAGAAAACUCAAUUAUGUUGAACACUAAGAUCAUUUCAGUCAUGUAUCCAAGCUCUGAUUCUCUACUUAUGAGUUCAAGUGAAGCACUUGAUGGGGAUGACAGUUGUUUUUUUUAUUUAUCUGCCUGAAACUUUGACCUGCAAAAUCUUCAGAUGCCUUUUGUAUGUGCUGCACUGGCAGCAAACUUAUGCCAAAUGCAUCAGGGAGAAUCCAUACAUAGUCUGCUGCAAUGCAUAAAUAAAAUUUCUAAACCACUUGCUGUUAUGAA